ensembl:lncRNA
UCACACAGGGCAGGGUGACAGUGACCUGUGACAGGGCAGGGUGGCACUGAUCUGUCACACACAGAGCAGGGUGACACUGAUCUGUCACACAGGGCAGGGUGACACUGAUCUGUCACACACGGAGCAGGGUGACACUGAUCUGUCACACACAGAGUGGGGUGGCACUGAUCUGUCACACAGGACAGUGGUGACACUGAUCUGUCACACAGGGCAGGUGACACUGAUCUGUCACACAGGGCAGGGUGGCACUGAUCUGUCACACACAGAGCAGGGUGGCACUGAUCUGUCACACAGGACAGUGGUGGCACUGAUCUGUCCCCUCAGGAAAUCCCAGCACAGGGUGGCACUGGCAGCUCGUGGUGGCACAUCCAAAUCCAGGAGGCUCCCAGGAAAUCCCCCUUUGAGAUACAAACCAGCUCCUCCUCCUUAGGAGCUCCAAAAUACAAAAUUUUAGAGUUGUUAAGGUUGGAAAACACCUUCAAGACCAUCAAGUCCAAGUGUGGCCCCAGCCACCCCCAAACCUUGUCCCCAAGUGCCACCUCCACAUGUUUUCAACCCUUCCAGGGAUGGUGAUUUCACCCUUCCAGUGCCUGACAUUUUCCACGAAGGAUUUCAUCCCAAUUUCCAACCUAAACCCGCUCUGAGGCUGUAGGAAAGGGUCUCCCCUGGCUGGGGUGUUGUGGGAAGAUGGGAUGGGAUGGUUUGGGAUGGGAUGGGAUCCAAUUUUCCCAAUUUCUGUGCAUUUUGGAUCACACCUGAUGCAGAAAUUCGUGUUCUGCUGUCACAGGCAAACCAAACCCAGCAGCUCCUCCCGUGAGAGAUCAAAUCUCCUCCCCUGAGGAAGCUGCAUUAUUUUAUAACAAUGUUCCUUUUCUUCCAGGCUCAAGUUAAGCACUAUUUUAAACAGCUCUCCAGCAUGAAAAGAUUCCAGUCUGGUGGCAAUUCAGCUCAAAGUUUUUAUAUUUAAUUUCCUCUCCCAGCAAGAGGCUGCCCUUGAUUUCCUUUCCCUGCUGUCUCACCAAAAUAUCCUGAAAAUUCUCCAUUUCAGGCACCCUGAUUACAUCCCCCACUCUGCAUCAAAGGCAGAAAAUUAUCAGCCACUCCAAAUAAAGCAGCAGCUGCUCGGGUUUAACUCCUGAAUGUCACUUCCAGCACAGCUGAUGCAUCCCAGGAUUACAGGGGAGUGUUUAUUCCUGCAGGAAUCCCUUUGGAUUUCCAGGGAAGGGACAAGUUCCGAGAUCAGGUGAGAAAGGAAGGAGAAUCAGACUUGAAAAACAAAAAUCCAGGUUGUAGGUGGGACCUGAGUCCUGUAAAAAAAUCCAUGGGAGCACUCAAGGGAUCAGAUCAAACCUCAGCAGAGGAAACAGCAUCAACAGCCUGGGAAUUCCAGGUUUAGGCAUUGUGGUUUUAGAAGAAAAUUUGGUUUUUUUAUACACCAGGCCAUUCAAUUGACAUUGAUUUUCUUCAGGCAGAGGAAAAAUCAGUAUCAGGCUCAGUCUGAGCUGCUUAAUUACAAUUAGAACACAAAGCUGGGUGAAAAACUGUCCCAAAAUCAGCUUUAGGAAUUGUCUGCUACAAAACCAAGGGGUUCAUUAGAGCUGAUUUCCUUUUCUCCAUGGGCAAAGUGCUUUAGGCAAAGGACUGUCACUGUGAAAGCGCAGGUUGGAGAUGCAGAGUGAUAAAAAAAGAAUGGGGAAGAUAAGGAAAAGCAGGAAUUGUGUCCAAAAUGACACGAGGAAUGAAGGUGGUGCCACCCACAAAGCAGCAGAGGCUGUUCAGGAAAAACAGACAGAUUAUUAAAUGUGGUAAUAUUUAAUAAUGGGGUUUUCAAACCCAGGUUAAAUAGAGUCUGGUGGAGCAGCUGCUGGCUUUGGGUUUGGAUAAAGCAGCCCAGGACUGUCCCUGGAUUCCAACUGGGAAAAAGCACAGGAGGCCCCAGGGGUCCCUCCUCUCCCCUCCCCUUUUGUCACACACAGGCAGAAACACCCAGGUUUUUCUCCCAUUUACUUCCAGAGGAAAGGAACACAGAGCUUCAAUGUACAGCAUUCCAUGGGGGAACUGUGAGCUGCAGCCUCCCCCCUCCCCUGGCAGGAGCCUGCACUGCUGAGUGGUGACAGAGGGGACGCAGCCCCUGGGGACACAUCCAGGGACACCCCUGGUGCUGGGGACAUCCCCUGGGACA